rnacentral:rRNA from 1 species
UACAGGGGGUGCAAACGUUGCUCGGAAUCAUUGGGCGUAAAGCGCACGUAGGCGGUUCGUUAUGUCGGAUGUGAAAGCCCUUGGCUUAACCGAGGAAGUGCAUCCGAAACUGGCGAGCUAGAGUACGAAAGAGGAUCGCGGAAUUCCUAGUGUAGAGGUGAAAUUCGUAGAUAUUAGGAAGAACACCGGUGGCGAAGGCGGGUCUCUGGGCCGAUACUGACGCUGAGGAGCGAAAGCGUGGGGAGCGAACAGG